rnacentral:tRNA from 1 species
GCCGGGGUGGCGGAACUGGUAGACGCGCCGGAUUCAAAAUCCGGUUCUGGAAACAGAGUGAGAGUUCGAGUCUCUCUCCCGGCA